rnacentral:rRNA from 1 species
UGGGGAAUAUUGCGCAAUGGGCGAAAGCCUGACGCAGCCACGCCGCGUGUGUGAUGAAGGCCUUCGGGUUGUAAAGCACUGUCGAGGGGGAAGAACACAACUGACGGUACCCCUCAAGAAAGCGCCGGCUAACCCUGUGCCAGCAGCCGCGGUAAUACAGGGGGCGCGAGCGUUGCUCGGAAUCACUGGGCGUAAAGCGUACGCAGGCGGGUCGAUAAGUCCGUUGUGAAAUCCCGGGGCUCAACCCCGGAAAUGCGAUGGAGACUGUCGACCUUGAGUACGGGAGAGGGGAGCGGAAUUCCUGGUGUAGAGGUGAAAUUCGUAGAUAUCAGGAGGAACACCGGUGGCGAAAGCGGCUCCCUGGCCCGAUACUGACGCUCAUGUACGAAAGCGUGGGGAGCAAACAGG